AACGAACGCUGGCGGCAUGCCUAACACAUGCAAGUCGAACGGAUUGUAGCAAUACAGUCAGUGGCGGACGGGUGAAUAACGCGUGGGAACCUGCCUUGGAGUUCGGAAUAACCGCGGGAAACUGCGGCUAAUACCGGAUACGACCUGAGGGUGAAAGCAGCAAUGCGCUCCAAGAGGGGCCCGCGUCCGAUUAGCUAGUUGGUGGGGUAACGGCCUACCAAGGCGAUGAUCGGUAGCUGGUCUGAGAGGAUGAUCAGCCACACUGGAACUGAGACACGGUCCAGACUCCUACGGGAGGCAGCAGUGGGGAAUAUUGGACAAUGGGGGAAACCCUGAUCCAGCAAUGCCGCGUGGGUGAUGAAGGCCUUCGGGUUGUAAAGCCCUUUCGGCGGGGACGAUGAUGACGGUACCCGCAGAAGAAGCCCCGGCUAACUUCGUG
rnacentral:rRNA from 1 species